CCCUUAGAUGUCCUGGGCCGCACGCGCGCUACACUGAUGCAUUCAACGAGCUUAUAACCUUGGCCGAGAGGCCUGGGCAAUCAUGUUAACGUGCAUCGUGAUAGGGAUAGAUUAUUGAAAUUAUUAAUCUUGAACGAGGAAUUCCUAGUAAACGCAGAUCAUCAAUCUGCAUUGAUUACGUCCCUGCCCUUUGUACACACCGCCCGUCGCUCCUACCGAUUGAGUGCUCAGGUGAAUAAUUCGGACUGCAGCAAUGUUCGGAUCCCGAACGUUGCCGCGGAAAGUUUAGGGAACCUUAUCACUUAGAGGAAGGAGAAGUCGUAACA
rnacentral:rRNA from 1 species